CUACGGCCACACCAGGUUUAAACUGCGGUUCCCGUACGAUCACCGAAGUUAAGCAACGUCGAGCCUGAUCAGUACCUAGACGGGUGAUUGUUUGGGAAUACCAGGUGCUGUAAG